UCGGGCGAGUAAAGCGGCGAAAGGGUGAGUAACACGUAAUCAACGUACCCCCCAGACCGGGAUAACCUCUAGAAAUGGUGGAUAAUACCGGAUGGACUUAUGACUAGGCAUCUAGUCAAUAGUAAACGGUGGCUUAGGCUGCUGCUGGGGGAGCGGGUUGCGGCCUAUCAGCUUGUUGGUGCGGUAAUGGCGCACCAAGGCAUUGACGGGUAGCGGGUCUGAGAGGAUGAUCCGUCACACUGGGACUGAGACACUGCCCAGACUCUUACGGGAGGCUGCAGUCGAGAAUCUUCCACAAUGGGCGAAAGCCUGAUGGAGCGACGCUGCGUGUAGGAUGAAGGCCCUAGGGUUGUAAACUACUGUCACGCCAUAGGAACCCGUAGUCGUUAAUAGCGGCUGCGCUGACCAAAGCGAAAGGAAGUGCCGGCUAACUCCGUGCCAGCAGCCGCGGUAAUACGGAGGGCGCAAGCGUUGUUCGGAAUCACUGGGCAUAAAGAGCAUGUAGGCGGUCUAUUAAGUCGGAUGUGAAAGCCCUCGGCCCAACCGGGGAAUUGCAUUCGAUACUGAUAGACUUGAGGACAGGAGGGGUGAGUGGAACUUCAGGUGGAACGGUGAAAUGUGUAGAUAUCUGAAGGAACACCGGUGGCGAAAGCGGCUCACUGGCCUGUCUCUGACGCUGAGAUGCGAAAGCUAGGGUAGCGAACGGGAUUAGAUACCCCGGUAGUCCUAGCCGUAAACGAUGGGUACUAGGUAGUGGGUUUUCCCUAUGGGGCUCAUUGCCGUAGCUAAUGUAUUAAGUACCCCCGCCUGGGGAGUACGCUCGCAAGGGUAAAACUCAAAGGAAUUGACGGGGGAUCACACAAGCGGUGGGAGCAUGUGGUUUAAAUUCGAAGCAACGCGAAGAACCUUACCUGGCCUUGACAUACAUGGGAUUAGCUCUGUGAAAGCAGAGUGACAGCUCUUCGGAGUUGGAACAUGAACAGGUGUUGCAUGGCUGUCGUCAGCUCGUGUCGUGAGAUGUUGGGUUAAGUCCCGUAACGAGCGAA
rnacentral:rRNA from 1 species